GAGGCACUGGCACAGGUUACACAGGCAGAUGGUGGACACCCUGUCCCUGGACACAUCCAAGAUCAGGCUGGAUGGGGCUCUGAGUACCUGAUCAAUCUCCCUGAAACCACUUCACAGUCCUGUCAAAGUGCUUCAGGACUGCCAUGCACUUCUCAGCGACUCAUUGGAACCAGCUGGACCCACAACGGCUGAGUAAAGAGAAGGCAAAAAAAGCUGAAGGAACUGAAAAAAAUGAAAGGAAGUGGGUGGAGAGCGUUUGGCUCAUGUUCAAUGGUCUGGUGAUUGAAGACAAAACAUCAGCAUUCCUUCUGGUAUUUGUUUCCUUGUCAGAAAGGCAUCUUGGAAGGGAGAGGCCCCACAACAGAAGGAAGAAAAUCUGUCGUUGCAGGAAUAAACAGCGACUCAAACCACAGACGAGAUUCUUGGAGCAUGGGAACAGAUGGAUUUAAAGAUAUGAAACAUCAUCUGAAUUCUUCUGAUGCUGGUUCAGACUGAUACUUGGGAAAUGAUUAGUAACAAACUGGUAUGGCAGACCUGUCUUCCAUCAGCUCACCUUCACGAUCCGGGCACUAACUCUGUCAGAUAUUUCUUCAUGCUUAUAUUCACAGGCAUGCAACCAAGCUGGUGAAAAAGAUAUAUUACAGGGGAAAGAGUUUGGUGGAAAUUCAUUCUUCCCCUUCCCUUCCCUUCCCUUCCCUUCCCUUCCCUUCCCUUCCCUUCCC
ensembl:lncRNA